UACGGGGGGGGCAAGCGUUGUUCGGAAUUACUGGGCGUAAAGGGCUCGUAGGUGGCCAACUAAGUCAGACGUGAAAUCCCUCAGCUUAACUGGGGAACUGCGUCUGAUACUGGAUGGCUUGAGUUUGGGAGAGGGACGCGGAAUUCCAGGUGUAGCGGUGAAAUGCGUAGAUAUCUGGAGGAACACCGGUGGCGAAGGCGACAUCCUGGACCGGUAUUGACGCUGAGGCGCGAAAGCCAGGGGAGCAAACGGG
rnacentral:rRNA from 1 species